ACAACAUAGCGGUCAACGUCGAAUUUAGGGGCUCUCGGCCCGGUCAACAAAAGAAGCCAUUUAAAGGCAGCAAAGAGGGACUGUCCGGCCUGAACAAAGUCUUGGACAGACUAUGCCAAAUUCAUGGCACCCCCGAAAAACCUGCGAACCACACUCACAGAGAAUGCUGGGUCUUCAAGCAGGCUGGCAAAUUAAAUGUCGAACACAAGGGAAGGGACACACCAAGUGAAGACGAGGAUGAGCCUCGCCAGCCGAACAUUGGGGGACAGAAAGAAUUCCCACCAGAGGUAAAAACAGUAAACAUGAUCCACGCAACUCACAUAACCACGAGAAGGCGUGAACGCGCGCUCAGAGACGCAUACGCUAUAAAGCCCGUUGCCACCAAUAACCACUGGUCGUCCUGCCCGAUCACCUUCGAUCACAGGGACUACCCGACUAGUAUGCGGCACGGAGGAUCAGCUGCCUUGGUGCUCGACCCAAUAAUCGACGGAUACCAUCUUACUCGCGUCCUCAUGGACGGUGGCGGUAGUCUUAAUCUAAUAUACCAGGACACUGUCCGCAGGAUGGGGAUAGACCCAUCCAGAAUCAGCAAAAGUGCCACCAACUUUGAAGGGGUGAUACCAGGCGUUGAAGCUCACUGUAGGGGCUCCCUCGUACUAGAGGUGACAUUCGGUUCCCCAGGUAACUUCAGAAGCGAAGAACUACUCUUCACCAUCGCCCCCCACCAAAGUGGUUAUCACACAUUGCUCGGGAGGACGGCCUUCGCCCGCUUCAACGCAGUACCUCACUACGCCUAUCUUAAACUCAAGAUGCCCGUUCCACGUGGCAUCAUCACUGUCAACGGAAAGAUGGAGCGUUCCCUACGCACGGAAGAGUAUGCGGCGGCUCCAGCAGCCGGACUCUAAGCGCCCUCUAAUACUAGAACGCAAUACUGUUCGUUAAGACCACGGACACGGUUAGACGAGUCCGGCAACCUAGAUAAACCUGAUCCAGGUACCACACAUGUAAUCCCAUAGAGGACACCAGGGGCUAUAGAUAUUUCAUAACGCCCAACCCUUGGCUUGACCUUAGUAACAGGCCAAUAUCUUACACUCUUUCUAUCCAUCGGUGAUAGCCAAAUCUUUGCACGCUUACAUCAUACUCUUUUACACGAAUUUUUCUUUUUUACAGACACCAUUCGUGCAACACCCUUCCGGGACAUGGCACAACGGAGACAAAGGCGCAGACGUGCAGCAGGGCCCCGCUCAAAGGUUUCUCUUUAGAUUAAGCCCCUGUGUAAACCUUGUUUACUGUCUCUUGUUUCUUACACAUCCCAUAGGUACUACACCCACAUAGGAUACUGCCGUUAUUGGCAUUUCACCACGACAGACUAAUGCACGUACCUGGAAAUACAGGGUUCAUAAUAAAGGGCGUUACUCAGCCCGAUAUAUGUUAUAAAGUCCGAAUACCUUCGGGAGUGUUCGGCGUCGCGAGUAUGGCCUUAUAUGCAUCAUCUCCGAAUCAUGUCUUUGGUCAAAUGUUGGGUUUGCCCGGCUCCUGGGUUUGCUGCCUUAUGUUCCGUUCUUAUCGGCUAAGGCGCCAAAGGAGAACUACUGCGAUUGUGCCCUGGUUAUUCCGGAUGAGCACCUCAGUAGAGAAAGCCGAAAAUUGACUGUCAUGAUACAGCGAGAGACUGUUCAACCACUCGAAGACUUAUCGGAAUCUUUAGGAUUCCUCCGCAUUAACGAAGGACCGUUUCCCGUUCAUGUACAUAUGCGCCCGUAUUCGGAUGCACGCAAAGGUACAAGGGGCUACAUAGUAGCCCCACCGUCAAACUCCUUUGGCUAAGUGAAAGUGUUACAGCUAUAUAGUAUGGUUGCCUAGUUCGCCGUGCGAUCACCUCCUUAAUGGACCAAGACGUUGGAUAAAGUGUGAUUACGCACAUUUUCGCGAACACCCCCGCAUUGUACGCGUGGGGGCUGAAGCCAACGACUGCUAUCUUUCAGAUUACAUAUAUGCAUAAAACAGCCGCACAGGAGGCACAAUAGCACUUUUGGGCAACAAGUAUAAACAUAGCCUCAUAAUUAAAGUUGUUUUUACAAUAAAAUGAGUUGUCACUCGAACAUGACAUUCUUCGAGCACUGAGCCUCUAUUAAACGAGCACCUUCUGCUACCUGCUCCAAGACAUGCUCGGCAGGUUCCUGACUUCUCGCCGGACUCUGGGUUGCAAUAACGGUGGCAUCCAUAUCCGUCCAAUAUGCCUUAGCGCGGGCAAGAGCCAUCGAUGCACCCUCUAUGCACGCCGACCUUUUCAUAGCAUCGAUUCGCGACACGGCACCAAGGAAUUGUUGCACUAAACCAAAAUAAUUGUCCGGCUUCGGCCCAUUCGGCCAUCGAUGGUCUAUUACAGACCUCAUUGCAAGACCAGACAACCUAUGGAGCUCGGCCAUAGCAGCCAUCUUCUCGCUCAAUGGCAACGGGCGCGUUGGAGCAUUGAAUUGCGACCAGAACAACUUUUCCACUUCAUUAUCCUUCUGAUCCUCAAAAAACUUGGCCUCGUCAGCCGCACUCUUCGCCAGAUCCGCAUACGCGUCUGAAGGGCUCCGCGUUGAUCCAGAGGAACAUACUUCGGAUCUAAGAACUUCAUCCGCAACAAAUAGGGGUUUCCAGCCGCGAUUUCUCUGGCCUGUCAAAGCUCCUCCCGCGCAUCCCUCAUUUCGGAACGCGUCUCCUUGGCCACAUCAAGGGCCUUCUUCAGGUCAGCCGAAUUAGCCUUCUUAUCCUUUUCAAGGAGCUCAUACCGGUCGACGGCAUUUUUUAACUCCACAGCCAUCUCGGCUAUUUUGUCUUCGCUUCGGCGACGAGCAGCCUCUUCGGCUCUCAACUCUUCGGCCGCCUUUAGGGCAGCCACAUCGCUGGCCCGGGCUUGUUCCUUAGCCAGGGCAAGUUCUGCCCUCAGGGCUUCCACGGCAGCAGCUCUGUCUAUAGUCCAAGUAUAUAACAUUAAUAUAAUACUCCUCUUAGUUUUUCCCAUAAGGAAAGCAGAGCACAUACCUUGUUACUCGUUAAGCCGCUGGUUCACAAGUGUGAUAUCGGCAUCAACAACUCCAAUCUGUCGCCUUAGUUCGGCGACUUCAACGGACUGGUCGGCUGCCGGACCCUUCGUCACCUAUGCAUACACACAGUAUGAUCAUUACCCAACGGUGUGAUCCUCCGUUUGCCGCCUUGGGCUGGCAACCAGAGUCUCAGGGUCUACUAUACAUAUGGAGCACACCUAGCGCGUGCGCCACAAUCAAAGAAAUUAUAUAUUUCGUUACAUACCUCAAAGCCUCUGAGCAGGCUUGUAAAAGCCUCAUUCAACCCGCUUGUGGCGGAUGAAAUCUUCUCAAGCACCGUGCUCAUCAAUGAACGAUGAUCCUCCGAGAGAGCAGCUCGCUCCAGAAGACCCGUCAGCGUAUCCGACCGAUCGCCGAACUGUGCCGGACCUUUCUUAUCGCCCCCCGUAGGAGCCAAAUGCUCUGGGCUCAGGGCGGCCGAAGCGCUAGCUUCUGGCCUCGGCGAAUCCGGACCUCUCCGUGACAACACCUCCAGGUCGCCCGCCUCAUGAGGCAGAGAGGUUGGUGGGGUUUCACUCUCCAUCAUCUCCGGAAGAAGAUCUCCCGAAGACGAACUCUAUCGAGAAGAACCGCUUGCCGGACUGCAAAGAAUGAAUCCUGGUUACUAUUCUCGGAGGAGGAAGCACUAGCUUUGUAUUUAUGAUUAACUUACGGCUCGGUUGAGCGCUGGCCCAUUUGCGGGCAUGGCGCGGUGAGGAUGCCCUUUGGGGCAGGGCCCUCAGGUGAGGUUUUCUUCCCUUCUCUGGGCACCUCCAUCUCCAAGUCUUCGGAGGCGGCCCUCUUCUUCCCGUGAGGGGAGGAGGCCUUAGAUUCCCCUUCCCGACUAUCCUCCUUUGGGGAGGUAGCAAUUCCCCCAGUUUGGAUGUGCAAUGUGUGAAGUUCUGCUUCUCUAUUCUUCCCUUCGCCUUUCCCUGAGGGCACUUUACUUAGUACACGACCAAGCAUCUUGGCUAUGGCGGGACUAGGCGAGCCCUCGGGAAGUGGCGCCGGACACCUGAUUCUUUCCGCCUUGCUGAGCCAUUCCUGGCCACGAAGAAUUUUUUUAGAAUCGUGUUAUGAUAAAUAUAAAUAAGGUGUUCGGUUUCUUACUUACUUGGGUGUCUGGGCGAUUGCAGCUCAGGCCCGCAUCCUCGGUGGUGUCCAGACAUUUUACUUGUGGUCCAAAGAAUAACUUACACAUCCGUUCGAGCGUCAAGCCGAAGAAGUGCAGAAUAGUCCGCGAACCUUCCGGAUUGAACUCCCACAUCCGAAGAGGCCGGCGUUUGCAUGGCAACAUCCGCCGGACUAGCAUCACCUUAAUUGUGCUGACAAGGCUAAUGUCCCUCUCAAGAAGCUCCCGGAUGCGGCCCCGCAAUGUUGGUACAUCAUUAUCAGGCCCCAAUCCCGUCCUACAUUGGCCCAUGACGCCAGUUGAGGCGGAGGGCCCGAACGGAAGUCGGGGGCGGCCACCCACUUUGUGCCCCUGGGAGCCGUGAUGUAAAACCACCUCCGCUGCCAUAGAUCGGAUACCUCUGGGAAGGAGCCCACUGGCCAGGGGGCAUCGGCGUUCCUGCUUAUUACAGCACCUCCGCGUGUCGCCCUUCAAUCAUCUUCGGCUUUACAUUGAAGGUCUUGAGCCAUAAGCCAAAGUGUGGGGUGACGUGGAGAAAAGCUUCGCACACAACGAUGAAUGACGAGAUGUGAAGGAUGGCGUCUGGAGCAAGAUCAUGAAAAUCUAGCCCGUAAUAGAACAUGAGCCCUCCCACAAAGGGAUCAAGGGGGAAGCCUAAACCGCGGAGGAAGUGAGAAACAAAUACGACGCUCUCGUUGGGCUCGGGAGUAGGGAUGACCUGCCCUGGAGUAGGAAGCCUGUGCUCGAUGUCGACGGUCAGAUAUUUGACCUCCCUCAGCUUCGCGAUGUUCUCCUCUGUGACCGUGGAGGCCACCCACCGACCAUGAAGGUUGGAUCCGGACAUGAUUGAAGAUCCGCAGUACCUAAGCUUGGGCUCGGGUGUUGGAACUCGAGAUGCAAGACGGCGCAAGCGUGGUAGAAAAGAGGGAUAGGCCUCGGCCCCUUUAUAAAGAGGGUGAAUAUCAAGCGUCCUCGGCGUGACCACGCGGGACUUACCUAAAAACACGGAGUCAUACCAACAGGCAUCGUGGGGUUGCACGCCCCCGUAUUGAUGGCAGAUCCCGUGAUAAGAGGAACACGAUCUCUGUUCUGAUGAGGCGUGCCAAUGAAACCGCCUCGUAACACAUAUCGAGGUAGGCUGAGAAAGACCGGUCCGUGUCGGGCCAGGCCACAGGGUGCGCCGUUGCAAAAAUUUUAUUGUCAGCGGAUCAGAUUUGUGAAGUGUUAGGCUCUCUACGGUGGAGUGCGGGGAUUAUCUCGCAGAGCCGGACACGAUCCUUAAUCUACUUUGGAGUAUUCGGAGAUGGAACCCACCUUGCAAUGCCAAAGACAAACUGCGCGCCGGACUCGUCGUCAUUGAAGCCUGGUUCAGGGGCUACUAAGGGAGUCCUGGAGUAGGGGGUAUCCGGAUAGCUGGACUAUAUACUUUGGCCGGACUGAUGAACCAUGAAGAUACAAGACUCAAGACUUCGUCCCGUGUCCGGGUGGGACCCUCCUUUACGUGGAAGACAAGUUUGGCGAUCCGGAUAGUAGAUCUCCUUCUUUGUAACCGACUCCGUGUAAACCCUAGCCCCCUCCGGUGUCUAUAUAAACCGGAUGGUUUGGUCUGUGUAGAGACAUUUAUAAUCAUCAUAGGCUAGCUCUUAGGGUUUAGCCUCUACGAUCUCGUGGUAGAUCAACUCUUGUAAUACUCAUAUCAUCAAGAUCAAUCAAGCAGGAAGUAGGGUUUUACCUCCAUCGAGAGGGCCCGAACCUGGGUAAAACAUCGUGUCCCUUGCCUCCUGUUACCAUUAGCCUUAGACGCACAGACCGGGACCCCCUACCCGAGAUCCGCCGGUUUUGACACCGACAAUGGGGAUAGAUCAUUGCAAUUGUUGGUCGUCAACGAGGAAUGCCUAGUAAGCGCGAGUCAUCAGCUCGCGUUGACUAUGUCCCUGCCCUUUGUACACACCGCCCGUCGCUCCUACUAAUUGAAUGGUCCGGUGAAGUGUUCGGAUCGCGGCGACGGGGGCGGUUCGCCGCCCCCGAUGUUGCAAGAAGUGCAUUGAACCUUAUCAUUUAGAGGAAGGAGAAGUCAUAACAAGGUUUCCGUAGGAGAACCUGCGGAAGGAUCAUUGUCGUGACCCUGACCAAAACAGACCGCGCACGCGUCAUCCAAUCCGUAGGCGAUGGCACCAUCCGUCGCUCGGCCAAUGCCUCGACCACCUCCCCACCUCGGAGUGGGUGGUGGCUCAGGGUAAAAGAACCCACAGCGCCGAAGGCGUCAAGGAACACUGUGCCUAACCCGGGGGCAUGGCUAGCUUGCUAGUCGUCCCUUGUGUUGCAAAGCUAUUUAAUCCACCCGACUCUCGGCAACAGAUAUCUCGGCUCUCGCAUCGAUCAAGAACGUAGCAAAAUGCGAUACCUGGUGUGAAUUGCAGAAUCCCGCGAACCAUCGAGUCUUGGAACGCAAGUUGCGCCCGAGGCCACUCGGCCGAGGGCACGCCUGCCUGGGCAUCACACCAAAACACGCUCCCAACCACCCUCAUCGGGAAUUGGGAUGCGCCAUCUGGUCCCUCGUCUCGCAAGGGGCGGUGGACCGAUGAUCGGGCUGCUGGUGUACCGCGUCGGACACAGCGCAUGGUGCACGUCCUCGCUUUAUCAACGCAGUGCAUCCGACGCGCAUCCGGCAUUAUGGCCUCAGAAUGACCCAGCAAACGAAGCACACGACGCUUCGACCGCGACCCUAGGUCAGGCGGGACUACCCGCUGAGUUUAAGCAUAUAAAUAAGCGGAGGAGAAGAAACAUACAAGGAUUCCCCUAGUAACGGCGAGCAAAUCGGGAGCAGCCCAGCUUGAGAAUCGGGCGGCUGUGCUGUCCGAAUUGUAGUCUGGAGAGGCGUCCUCAUCGACGUACCUGGCCCAAGUCCCCUGGAAAGGGGUGCCUGGGAGGAUGAGAGCCCCGUCCGGCCCGGACCCUGUCGCCCCACGAGGCGCCGUCAACGAGUCGGGUUGUUUGGGAAUGCAUGUGAGUGACCGAUAGCGAACAAGUACCGCGAGGGAAAGAUGAAAAGGACUUUGAAAAGAGAGUCAAAGAAUGCUUGAAAUUGCCGGGAGGGAAGCAGAUGGGGGCCGGCGAUGCGCCCCGGCCGUAUGCGGAAUGGCUCUUGCUGGUCCACCGCUUGGCUCGGGGUGUGGACUGUUGUUGGCCGUGCCGGCGGCCAAAGCCCGGGGGCCCCAGGUGCCCCCGAUGGCCGUUGUCGGCACGGCCAAUACCCGCGCGCCGAAAGGCGUGUCCCUCGGGGCACUGCGCUGC
rnacentral:lncRNA from 1 species